rnacentral:rRNA from 1 species
GACGAACGCUGGCGGCGUGCCUAAUACAUGCAAGUAGAACGCUAAAGGAGGAGCUUGCUUCUCUGGAUGAGUUGCGAACGGGUGAGUAACGCGUAGGUAACCUGCCUGGUAGCGGGGGAUAACUAUUGGAAACGAUAGCUAAUACCGCAUAAUAGUAGUUGUUGCAUGACAACUGUUUGAAAGGUGCAAUUGCAUCACUACCAGAUGGACCUGCGUUGUAUUAGCUAGUUGGUGGGGUAACGGCUCACCAAGGCGACGAUACAUAGCCGACCUGAGAGGGUGAUCGGCCACACUGGGACUGAGACACGGCCCAGACUCCUACGGGAGGCAGCAGUAGGGAAUCUUCGGCAAUGGACGGAAGUCUGACCGAGCAACGCCGCGUGAGUGAAGAAGGUUUUCGGAUCGUAAAGCUCUGUUGUAAGAGAAGAACGAGUGUGAGAGUGGAAAGUUCACACUG